UUGCUUGCUUUGACAGCACAUAUACUAAAAUCAGAAUAAUACAGAGAAGAUUAGCAUGGUCCCUGCACAAGGAUGACAUGCAAAUUUGUGAAGCAUUCCAUAUUUUU
ensembl:snRNA U6 U6 spliceosomal RNA